AUUUUUAGUUUAUUAAUUUGUAAUUCAUGUUAUGCAAGAAUAUUGAAUAAUUGUCGGUAUUAUGACAAGGAUUGGUCUGCUUCGGCCACUUUACUAUUUACCAGGAACAGAUGAACUUCGUCAAGACGUCGAGGCAGAGGGCAGUUCUGACCCUAACACAAAUUACUCAACUGUCAAUGCAAACAAACUUUUUAUUCUGACUGGCUGUCCGAAGUCACAUGGGUUAGGUAGCGGAAAAAAUCUUAUUUGCCAAAAAAAUUCUUGUCAAAAUCUAGGUCUGUAGACAGAGAUUUUGGCAGAUUAAARAAGCAUUCAACACUGCUGCGGAUGUAAUUUUCGACUGCAUUACAUCAACAACGUCACAUAACAAUACGAUAUUGUUAGGUGAAGCAUGCUUSAUGAAAUACAUCACACAGACAAUUUCAUUCGCUUCUAGUUGAUCUGUGACGAUCAAAACAAACUAGUACAACGAAAAAAGUCAUUUUCGACGGUUUCUGUUCCCUUUUCGUUUCAAAUGAUUUUUUCUUUAAUUUCACUCUGAAAGGGUGUUUACAUAUUUUACUAUGCAUGAGCGAAUUUCGAAGCAAGGCAUGGCGGGAGUUUUGACGAUGUUGGCAGACGGGGGGAAGCACUCGGACUUCAACGUAAAUAUAUCCGUGAAAACCCCCUUGCUUCCUGCUGAAACUUAACAACUGAAAACUAGGGAUUCUGCAGACUGUUGAUAGGAUUACAAGGACUUUAAAUCGGUGGCUGGGAAGCGCAAAAGAUCAAACAUUAGGAUGGAAUAUAUGAAGUAGUUACCACUCUAGGUCAAUGUCUCAGGAGAAUAUAGUUUGACGCCAUGGGAUUAUUUGAUCACAACAAUGGAGACUUCUGGUUCGCCUCGAUCUCGUCUGCAAAUUACUUGUAUUUGCUAAUUUAUUUUGCUCCUAAAUUGAUAGUUUCCUUAUUUAASACUUGUUGUAUUAUCUACAAUAUUUGGUGGAUAUUAAUCUAUUGUCAUUCAUUUCACAAGUACAUUGUCGAAGGCAAAAUGGACUCGGAUAGUUAUCAAUGUAUUUUUACGACAAUCCAAGGUACAUUCAUGGCUAUUUUGUUUGUUGCAAUUCAUUUUUGAAAAAUGUACUCUAAGAUUGUAUUGUAUUUUCCCGAAAAAUGGAUUAAAAGCGAGAAAAUCUUAA